UACGAAGGGGGCUAGCGUUGCUCGGAAUCACUGGGCGUAAAGCGCACGUAGGCGGAUUGUUAAGUCAGGGGUGAAAUCCUGGAGCUCAACUCCAGAACUGCCUUUGAUACUGAGGAUCUUGAGUCCGGGAGAGGUGAGUGGAACUGCGAGUGUAGAGGUGAAAUCGUAGAUAUUCGCAAGAACACCAGUGGCAGAAGGCGC
rnacentral:rRNA from 1 species